rnacentral:rRNA from 1 species
GUAGGUGGCAAGCGUUGUCCGGGAAUUAUUGGGGCGUAAAGCGCGCGCAGGCGGUCCUUUAAGUCUGAUGUGAAAGCCCACGGGCUCAACCGUGGGAGGGUCAUUGGAAACUGGGGGACUUGAGUGCAGAAGAGAGGAGUGGAAUUCCACGUGUAGCGGUGAAAUGCGUAGAGAUGUGGAGGAACACCAGUGGCGAAGGCGACUCUUUGGUCUGUAACUGACGCUGAGGCGCGAAAGCGUGGGGAGCAAACAGGAUUAGAUACCCUGGUAGUCCACGCCGUAAACGAUGAGUGCUAAGUGUUAGAGGGUUUCCGCCCUUUAGUGCUGCAGCAAACACAUUAAGCACUCCGCCUGGGGAGUACGGCCGCAAAGGCUG